AAGUCGUAACAAGGUAACCGUAGGUGAACCUGCGGUUGGAUCAUUAAUGAAGGCUUUAUGCCAAACCAGCUUUUUAAGCUGACCCACCUUGUGUGAACCGUUAAAAUGUUUUUAGGCGGAGAGGUAAAAGUCCUCUCCUUAAGUGGUUUAAGAGUUUUACCAAAGUCUUUAAGUAGAUAAAUCUCCGCCUACUGCUAUUUUCUUGAAAAGGAAGAUGGCAAACAAACAAACCUUUUAUUGUCUUUCAAAUUAUAAAUCUAAACAAAUUUUUACAUUCUAAAAUAAAAUUUCGAAUGAAAAAACAACUUUUGACAACGGAUCUCUUGGCUCUC
rnacentral:misc_RNA from 1 species